AGCCUGCGGCUCAGCCGGCUCAUCAGUCGGUCCGCGCCUUGCAGCUCCUCCAGAGGGACGCGCCCCGAGAUGGAGAGCAAAGCCCUGCUCGUGCUGACUCUGGCCGUGUGGCUCCAGAGUCUGACCGCCUCCCGCGGAGGGGUGGCCGCCGCCGACCAAAGAAGAGAUUUUAUUGACAUUGAAAGUAAAUUUGCCCUAAGGACCCCUGAAGACACAGCUGAGGACACUUGCCACCUCAUUCCCGGAGUAGCAGAGUCCGUGGCUACCUGUCAUUUCAAUCACAGCAGCAAAACCUUCAUGGUGAUCCAUGGCUGGACGGUAAGGGAGGCUCUUUGGGGAAGAGUGGAUUGGGGUGGUGAGGUAUCCUGACUGGCCUGCCCAAUUGUUGGGGACCCAGUGAUGGGUCCACACCCCACAUCUCACAUGGAUCUCCUUGCACUUGAAUAAAGACAGUUCUGGCUGA
rnacentral:sRNA from 1 species